rnacentral:rRNA from 1 species
GACGAACGCUGGCGGCGUGCUUUACACAUGCAAGUCGAACGGUGAAGGUGGAGCUUGCUCCGCCGGAUCAGUGGCGAACGGGUGAGUAACACGUGGGCAACCUGCCCCUAACUUUGGGAUAACUACUCGCAAGAGUAGCUAAUACCGGAUAUGAAGUCUGUAGGCAUCUAUGGAUUUGGAAAGUUUUUCGGUUAGGGAUGGGCCCGCGGCCUAUCAGCUUGUUGGGGAGGUAGUGGCUCACCAAGGCGAAGACGGGUAGCCGGCCUGAGAGGGCGACCGGCCACACUGGGACUGAGACACGGCCCAGACUCCUACGGGAGGCAGCAGUGGGGAAUAUUGCGCAAUGGGCGAAAGCCUGACGCAGCAACGCCGCGUGCGGGAUGAAGGCCUUCGGGUUGUAAACCGCUUUCAGCAGGGAAGAAGCGAAAGUGACGGUACCUGCAGAAGAAGCACCGGCUAACUACGUGCCAGCCGCCGCCGUAA